UUGAACGCUGGCGGCAUGCCUUACACAUGCAAGUCGAACGGUAACGGGCCUUCGGGUGCCGACGAGUGGCGAACGGGUGAGUAAUACAUCGGAACGUGCCCGAUCGUGGGGGAUAACGAGGCGAAAGCUUUGCUAAUACCGCAUACGAGCUACGGAUGAAAGCAGGGGACCGCAAGGCCUUGCGCGGACGGAGCGGCCGAUGGCAGAUUAGGUAGUUGGUGGGAUAAAAGCUUACCAAGCCGACGAUCUGUAGCUGGUCUGAGAGGAUGAUCAGCCACACUGGGACUGAGACACGGCCCAGACUCCUACGGGAGGCAGCAGUGGGGAAUUUUGGACAAUGGGCGCAAGCCUGAUCCAGCCAUGCCGCGUGCAGGAUGAAGGCCUUCGGGUUGUAAACUGCUUUUGUACGGAACGAAAAGCCUUCUUUUAAUACAGGAGGGUCAUGACGGUACCGUAAGAAUAAGCACCGGCUAACUACGUG
rnacentral:rRNA from 1 species